rnacentral:rRNA from 1 species
AUUGAACGCUGGCGGCAGGCCUAACACAUGCAAGUCGAGCGGAGCAGCGGACGGGUGAGUAAUACCUAGGAAUCUGCCUGGUAGUGGGGGAUAACGACCGGAAACGGGCGCUAAUACCGCAUACUAUCAGAAUAGCAUAGUUGGGAUUAGGUAGUUGGUGGGGUAAAGGCACACCAAGGCGACGAGCCGUAACUGGUCUGAGUGGAUGAGCAGCCACACUGGAACUGAGACACGGUCCAGACUCCUACGGGAGGCAGCAGUGGGGAAUAUUGGACAAUGGGCGAAAGCCUGAUCCAGCCAUGCCGCGUGUGUGAAGAAGGUCUUCGGGUUGUAAAGCACUUUAAGUUGGGAGGCGUUACCAGCAGAAUAAGCACCGGCUAACUACGUGCCAGCAGCCGCGGUAAUAC